rfam:Musa acuminata subsp. malaccensis Doubled-haploid Pahang (DH-Pahang) genomic chromosome, chr3
GUGAGAGUGUGAUGUUGGAAUGGCUCAAUCAGAUUUGAUCAUAUUUUAGUUUGAGAUAUUUGAUCUGAUUGAGCCGUGCCAAUAUCACUCUUUGCUUG